CAGUGGUUGACUCAAAGGCUAGAGGGUGGUUUGGGGGUGGAGGCAGAGGUCCAGUGAGCUGGGCUCCACCCUUUCUCUCCCUGCAGUCCCAACUCCAUUUUUAUCUGUGCUAUAUGUUGGAGUCUAGCCAAGAUGUCAUUUGAACAAAGAUUCUGAAAGAUCAAAGAAAAAAGUUUGAAAACCACCAGGACAAUGCUUUCAGGGGACUUUAUCCAAAAGACUGCAACAAUGUAAAGAGAUACGAUUGCUUUUAUUACUGUGAUAUGUUUAAAGUAUUAUAAAUUUUUUAAGAGCUUUGUAAGUGACAGAAGUGAAGACAUGCUCAUUUUAAUGUUACCAGUCAACUCUGAGAAGACUAAAGGUCAAGGGACAAUGAAAAUGUGACCCUUACCAACGACAGAAACUCCCAGGAAGCCACAAUUAACUCAAGACCACCAGGAUAUUUGGGGAAGUUUAUCCUUCUGGAAACCAGAAUUUCUGAUUUGUGGAAAAUUCUAUAGAUAUUCUCUGCCAGACUCCAGCCUAUUUGUGUGAGACAUCUGGGGAGGCUCCCCUUUUUUUCACCAUUUGAGGACUGAAAGUAAAUUUAGCUUCCUCAGCAGAAAGAAAAGAAGCUGUUUUGGAGGUUGGGAAGAGCUUUAGAAAAUGCGGCAUCACGUCUGUUGCCCCAUUUGAAGAAAGCAGCUCUGGAAAAGGCCUAGGACAUUAGUUGCUACAAAGUUCUAGAUCAUUCUGUGUGGUAAAGAAGUGCCUUUCACCUCCCACUGUGAUUCUGAGGCCUCCCCAGCCAUGUGGAACUAUCAGGUCUGUGUUGGUAAAUUAGACACCGUGUGGCCUUUCAACAUCCAGGAGCAAGAUGGCAGGAGAAUCAUGCCAACAACUGAGGUACCUUGCAGGAAAUCAAACAGGAAGAAAUCACCCAAUGGGAUCAGCUGGGCAAACAUGGGUCACCCCAGGAGUGAUAUCCACCCAGGUUUGCUCAGUAAGACUAUGAGACCUAUCUUCCUGGCUGUGGUGAUUGGUUCAGAAGCAACAUGCCAACCAACCUGAUCCAAUGAGAGUGAGUUCUAGGACUUUUGCUGGAACUACUGUAUGUCUAUAUAUAAAAGAGAAUCUAUCUUUCUAUUGAAAGCCAAAGGUAAGAAGCCAAUAUGAUAUGCAUUUGAUUCUGUUACGGAAAUCCACAUAAAAGAAGGCUGCCCAAGUAUAAAACCAACACAGAAGAAAGCAGAGGUAAGAGAUGGAAAAAGAAAUGAGUGAACCAGUGACAGCAAGAGACUGAAGAACAUCAUUUGAUUGCCUGGAAUCAGCUAAGCCUGAAGAGAAGCCUAACCCUAAGCUUUUCAGUUACCCAAGCCAUCAAAUUCCCAUCCCCAUUUUUUUGGUUCUUAAGCAGCUUGAACCAUAGUUGUCUCACUUGCAUGCAAGAGAUCCCUGAAGAUACAUGCAGUUCCUCAGGUGAAGAUUGCCAUCAGUUAACAGAUCCUGGCACCCAUGGACCCUGGGACAGUCAUUCUGGUAGCAUCCUCUGGUAGAGAAUAACAUAGUCAAAUCUGACAGUCAGAGAGUAUCUGCCAGCCUCUGCUUAGAUAUAGCCCACUGAAAGGGAGAGAUGAUUAAUUUAGCCUUGAUUUCAAAACCUUGUCUUGUAUAUUCCAUUCAGCACUUUUUAUCUUCCUGUAUUCCCCUGGUUCCUCUCUAGCUGAAUAAAGAACAAUUUUUAAAGCAAACAUCUUCACUGUGUAUCUAGCAAAGCUUUCUGCUUCAUU
rnacentral:lncRNA from 1 species